CUGACGGAGCAAGACCGCGUGAGGGAGGAAGGCUCUUGGGUUGUAAACCUCUUUUCUCUGGGAAGAACAAAAUGACGGUACCAGAGGAAUCAGCAUCGGCUAACUCCGUGCCAGCAGCCGCGGUAA
rnacentral:rRNA from 1 species